rnacentral:rRNA from 1 species
CCUACGGGAGGCAGCAGUGGGGGAUAUUGCACAAUGGGGGAAACCCUGAUGCAGCGACGCCGCGUGUGGGAAGACGGUCCUCUGGAUUGUAAACCACUGUCCCCAGGGACGAAGAUGACGGUACCUGGGGAGGAAGCUCCGGCUAACUACGUGCCAGCAGCCGCGGUAAUACGUAGGGAGCGAGCGUUGUCCGGAAUUACUGGGUGUAAAGGGAGCGUAGGCGGGACUGCAUUGGAAACUGUUGAACUGGAGUACAGGAGAGGUAAGCGGAAUUCCUAGUGUAGCGGUGAAAUGCGUAGAUAUUAGGAGGAACACCAGUGGCGAAGGCGGCUUACUGGACUGUAACUGACGUUGAGGCUCGAAAGCGUGGGGAGCAAACAGGAUUAGAUACCCUUGUAGUC